UACGAAGGGGGCUAGCGUUGCUCGGAAUGACUGGGCGUAAAGGGCGCGUAGGCGGAUGACACAGUCAGAUGUGAAAUUCCCGGGCUUAACCUGGGGGCUGCAUUUGAUACGUGUUGUCUAGAGUGAGGAAGAGGGUUGUGGAAUUCCCAGUGUAGAGGUGAAAUUCGUAGAUAUUGGGAAGAACACCGGUGGCGAAGGCGGCAACCUGGUCCUUGACUGACGCUGAGGAGCGAAAGCCAGGGGAGCAAACGGG
rnacentral:rRNA from 1 species